GUGGUUCCGCUCGAGUUAAAAGAAGGAAGAGGAGGGUGUAAAACCAGAACACAGGGACCAACCACUAAAGACUGAGCAUCUGAGGAACAAGUUUUCAAAAUGAAAGCUGCCGUGUGUGCCGUCCUCCUCUUGCUGACUCUAUAUCAAGCUGAGGCCCUGAGGUGUAAAUAUUGUUUCUCCGACUAUGGAGAUGAACUCUGCGACUGGAACUACAGUAAGACCUGUUCAAGGCUUGCACCAAUGUGUAUUCGCACCUUAUACACUAAGCGUGGCGGUUCAUUCCGCUGGUGUGCGACCAAGAAAGUGUGUGACUCGUACAAGGAAUUAACGGCCGUGGACUAUAAAUGCUGCACCACAGACCUCUGCAACUGAGCCCCUUCACCUCGGCGUGGGCCCAUGGUGAUGUUGGAGGAUCCAUUUCUACUGUUUAUGACACCAAAAAGCAGGGGUUUGUCCACAAUGUCAGCUCAAAUUUAAACCGUGUAGGACCUGUACUGCUUUACGACACUAGGUGGCAGUAGAGCGCUGGGAAGAUUGGUGAGCAUCCACUUGGGCCGCCACUGCCAGUGUGUAUGUGUCAGAGUGUUUUUUUAUGUGAAUUAUUAAAAAGACAAAGAAGUUAAA